rnacentral:rRNA from 1 species
AACCCAAAGGACUUGACGGUGUCCCAUCCAACUAGAGGAGCCUGUUCUGUAAUCGAUAAUCCACGAUAAACCUAACCAUUUCUUGCCCAUCAGCCUGUAUACCUCCGUCGCAAGCUCACCGUAUGAACGCACAACAUUGGGCCAAAUGGUCUUUCACCAUAACGUCAGGUCAAGGUGCAGCUAAUGAAAUGGAAGAGAUGGGCUACAAUUUCUAAACUAGAACAAACGAAAUACUACAUGAAACAUAGUCAUGAAGGUGGAUUUAGCAGUAAGUAGAAAAUAGAGAGUUCUACUAAACCUGGUCCUGGGACGUGUACAAACCGCCCGUCACCCUCUUCGAUAG